rnacentral:rRNA from 1 species
UACGAAGGGGGCUAGCGUUGUUCGGAAUCACUGGGCGUAAAGCGCACGUAGGCGGAUUUGUUAGUCAGGGGUGAAAUCCCGGGGCUCAACCUCGGAACUGCCUUUGAUACUGCAAAUCUCGAGUCCGAUAGAGGUGAGUGGAAUUCCCAGUGUAGAGGUGAAAUUCAUAGAUAUUGGGAAGAACACCGGUGGCGAAGGCGGCUCACUGGCCCGUUUCUGACGCUCAGGCACGAAAGCGUGGGGAGCAUACAGG